GGUUAAGCGACUAAGCGUACACGGUGGAUGCCCUGGCAGUCAGAGGCGAUGAAGGACGUGCUAAUCUGCGAAAAGCGUCGGUAAGGUGAUAUGAACCGUUAUAGCCGGCGAUGUCCGAAUGGGGAAACCCAGUGCAAUUCGUUGCACUAUCGUUAACUGAAUACAUAGGUUAACGAGGCGAACCGGGGGAACUGAAACAUCUAAGUACCCCGAGGAAAAGAAAUCAACCGAGAUUCCCCCAGUAGCGGCGAGCGAACGGGGAGCAGCCCAGAGUCUGAAUCAGCUUGUGUGUUAGUGGAACGGUCUGGAAAGUCCGACGGUACAGGGUGAUAGUCCCGUACACCAAAAUGCACAGGCUGUGAACUCGAAGAGUAGGGCGGGACACGUGGUAUCCUGUCUGAAUAUGGGGGGACCAUCCUCCAAGGCUAAAUACUCCUGACUGACCGAUAGUGAACCAGUACCGUGAGGGAAAGGCGAAAAGAACCCCGGCGAGGGGAGUGAAAAAGAACCUGAAACCGUGUACGUACAAGCAGUGGGAGCACCUUUAUGGUGUGACUGCGUACCUUUUGUAUAAUGGGUCAGCGACUUAUAUUCUGUAGCAAGGUUAACCGUAUAGGGGAGCCGCAGGGAAACCGAGUCUUAACUGGGCGUUAAGUUGCAGGGUAUAGACCCGAAACCCGGUGAUCUAGCCAUGGGCAGGUUGAAGGUUGGGUAACACUAACUGGAGGACCGAACCGACUAAUGUUGAAAAAUUAGCGGAUGACUUGUGGCUGGGGGUGAAAGGCCAAUCAAACCGGGAGAUAGCUGGUUCUCCCCGAAAGCUAUUUAGGUAGCGCCUCGUGAACUCAUCUUCGGGGGUAGAGCACUGUUUCGGCUAGGGGGUCAUCCCGACUUACCAACCCGAUGCAAACUACGAAUACCGAAGAAUGUUAUCACGGGAGACACACGGCGGGUGCUAACGUCCGUCGUGAAGAGGGAAACAACCCAGACCGCCAGCUAAGGUCCCAAAGUCAUGGUUAAGUGGGAAACGAUGUGGGAAGGCACAGACAGCCAGGAUGUUGGCUUAGAAGCAGCCAUCAUUUAAAGAAAGCGUAAUAGCUCACUGGUCGAGUCGGCCUGCGCGGAAGAUGUAACGGGGCUAAACCAUGCACCGAAGCUGCGGCAGCGACACUAUGUGUUGUUGGGUAGGGGAGCGUUCUGUAAGCCUGCGAAGGUGACCUGUGAGGGUUGCUGGAGGUAUCAGAAGUGCGAAUGCUGACAUAAGUAACGAUAAAGCGGGUGAAAAGCCCGCUCGCCGGAAGACCAAGGGUUCCUGUCCAACGUUAAUCGGGGCAGGGUGAGUCGACCCCUAAGGCGAGGCCGAAAGGCGUAGUCGAUGGGAAACAGGUUAAUAUUCCUGUACUUGGUGUUACUGCGAAGGGGGGACGGAGAAGGCUAUGUUAGCCGGGCGACGGUUGUCCCGGUUUAAGCAUGUAGGCUGGUUAUCCAGGCAAAUCCGGAUAAUCAAGGCUGAGGUGUGAUGACGAGGCACUACGGUGCUGAAGUAACAAAUGCCCUGCUUCCAGGAAAAGCCUCUAAGCAUCAGGUAACAUCAAAUCGUACCCCAAACCGACACAGGUGGUCAGGUAGAGAAUACCAAGGCGCUUGAGAGAACUCGGGUGAAGGAACUAGGCAAAAUGGUGCCGUAACUUCGGGAGAAGGCACGCUGGUGUGUAGGUGAAGUCCCUGCGGAUGGAGCUGAGACCAGUCGAAGAUACCAGCUGGCUGCAACUGUUUAUUAAAAACACAGCACUGUGCAAACACGAAAGUGGACGUAUACGGUGUGACGCCUGCCCGGUGCCGGAAGGUUAAUUGAUGGGGUUAUCCGUAAGGAGAAGCUCUUGAUCGAAGCCCCGGUAAACGGCGGCCGUAACUAUAACGGUCCUAAGGUAGCGAAAUUCCUUGUCGGGUAAGUUCCGACCUGCACGAAUGGCGUAAUGAUGGCCAGGCUGUCUCCACCCGAGACUCAGUGAAAUUGAACUCGCUGUGAAGAUGCAGUGUACCCGCGGCAAGACGGAAAGACCCCGUGAACCUUUACUAUAGCUUGACACUGAACAUUGAGCCUUGAUGUGUAGGAUAGGUGGGAGGCUUUGAAGCGUGGACGCCAGUCUGCGUGGAGCCAACCUUGAAAUACCACCCUUUAAUGUUUGAUGUUCUAACGUUGGCCCCU
rnacentral:rRNA from 1 species